UUAAAAACUAUCAAUUAAUAUCGACGUUGAUUCCACGUUAAUUCAACGUCUAUAUAACAAGUUCGACCGUUCGUAUUGCAUUUUGAAAUCUCAAAUACGCAUGAGUGACUUUACUAAUUAUUCAUAAGGCCUUAUGAAGCCUUUUUAAAAAGUUAACGUAAUAUUGUUUAAUUUCACAAUUUAACAAUAUCACAUGAUUUAACUUGGAAUGCAGUUAGAUAAAUAUUAAAUAGAUAUAUUUUUAUGACGUAAUAUUGGCAACAUUUCAUGAGUGUAAAUUACAAGUAGAUUUUGCUUAAAUUUUUCUUACAGUUUUUUAAAACGCACCGGAACGGCGCACAGUGGAAAAUAAUGGUCUGUUUUAGAUCAAAAAUCAAUAACUUUUUUGUUACUAAAGAUAAAGUGUUGAAAUUUUGCACAAAUGUAUAAUAGUAUAUGGGGCUUCUAAGGAAAUAUUUUUUAUAAAAAAAAGUUUAAUAAAAAACUCGCAAAUAAAAAUCAAAAA